GCCAUAACUGCAAAAGGAAAAGAGACUUUUUAAUCAAAUGUAAACUCUCGAGUAUUUUGACGGUAGACGUUAAGUAUAAGCAAGCAAAGUUGCUGCUACUUCCAAGAGUGGAAAGAGUUUGAAAAAGUAUCGAUCGGUAAGCACCGAGAUGACUUUCGUUAUUGAAAACGUCUGAACGGUAGUACCAGUCCAUCGAGAAAAUCUUUGGAUAUUUGCUGUGUAUUUGAACGAACGUGUUCCUAACUUCGCGAGCGGAAAAGAAAAGAAAAGAAAAGAAAAGAAAGAAGUUUUCAAGACGUUUCCUGAAUUUGCUCGAUUGACGUCUGAGAAGGAGAUUCUUUUUCGCAGACUUUCCCGACUACGUUUUGCCAUCGAGAAAAUGAAAA
rnacentral:lncRNA from 1 species